CAGGGCGAAUGUCUUGUAAUUGGAAUGAUGGUGACCCAAACCCUCACCAGAGUAGCAAUUGGAGGGCAAGCCUGGUGCCAGCAGCCGCGGUAAUUCCAGCUCCAAUAGCGUAUAUUAAACUUGUUGCAGUUAAAAAGCUCGUAGUUGUAUUUUUGCGUUAGCGGUUUGACCAUUUGGUUGGUUAUUUCGUUUUCGCUUUUGGGAAUUUCCCUUUUUACUUUGAGAAAAUUAGAGUGUUCCAAGCAGACUUUUGUCUUGAAUACUUCAGCAUGGAAUAAUAGAGUAGGACUUUGGUUCUAUUUUGUUGGUUAUUGAACCUUAGUAAUGGUUAAUAGGAACGGUUGGGGGCAUUCGUAUUUAACUGUCAGAGGUGAAAUUCUUAGAUUUGUUAAAGACGAACUACUGCGAAAGCAUUUGCCAAGGACGUUUCCAUUAAUCAAGAACGAAAGUUAGGGGAUCGAAGAA
rnacentral:rRNA from 1 species